rnacentral:rRNA from 1 species
AGCGAACGCUGGCGGCAGGCCUAACACAUGCAAGUCGAACGGACCCUUCGGGGUUAGUGGCGGACGGGUGAGUAGCACGUGGGAACGUGCCUUUAGGUUCGGAAUAGCUCCUGGAAACGGGUGGUAAUGCCGAAUGUGCCCUUCGGGGGAAAGAUUUAUCGCCUUUAGAGCGGCCCGCGUCUAAUUAGCUAGUUGGUGAGGUAACGGCUCACAAAGGCGACGAUCAGUAGCUGGUCUGAGGGGAUGACCAGCCACACUGGGACUGAGACACGGCCCAGACUCCUACGGGAGGCAGCAGUGGGGAAUCUUGCGCAAUGGGCGAAAGCCUGACGCAGCCAUGCCGCGUGAAUGAUGAAGGUCUUAGGAUUGUAAAAUUCUUUCACCGGGGACGAUAAUGACGGUACCCGGAGAAGAAGCCCCGGCUAACUUCGUGCCAGCCGCCGCCGUAA